rnacentral:rRNA from 1 species
GGACGAAAGUCUGACGGAGCAACGCCGCGUGAGUGAAGAAGGUUUUCGGAUCGUAAAACUCUGUUUUCAGGGACGAAUGUGCUAUUUGUGAAUAAUGAGUAGUAAUGACGGUACCUGACAAGAAAGCCACGGCUAACUACGUGCCAGCAGCCGCGGUAAUACGUAGGUGGCAAGCGUUGUCCGGAAUUAUUGGGCGUAAAGCGCGCGCAGGUGGGAUAAUAAGUCUGGUGUUAAAGUUCGGGGCUCAACCCCGUGAAGCAUUGGAAACUAUUAUUCUUGAGUGCAGGAGAGGAAAGUGGAAUUCCUAGUGUAGCGGUGAAAUGCGUAGAUAUUAGGAGGAACACCAGUGGCGAAGGCGACUUUCUGGACUGUGUCUGACACUGAGGCGCGAAAGCCAGGGUAGUGAACGGGAUUAGAUACCCCGGUAAUCCUGGCCGUAAACGAUGGGUACUAGGUGUUGGGGGUAUCGACCCCUCCAGUGCCUGAGUUAACGCAAUAAGUACCCCGCCUGGGGAGUAC